UAAAUAUGAAGAAAGAACACUUUGGGAUAUUUUGCUUAUUGUAUUUUCUAUUUCAGGUGGUAGGCACGCUCGCUUGCAAGCGCAAGCCGUCGUGUCGCCCGCCGCGCUGCCCCGGCGGCUGCAAGCCCAAGUACUGGUGAACAAGCUCUGAAAUUUAUACUCGAUUCUACGUUGACGAUAUCGAACAAAUAUGUUGGUGGCAGGCAACCUGUGCUGGUGGAUCGCCUGGUGUAUCCUCAGCUUUUUAACUCUGACGCAAGCGUGUAAGAAGCGAACCAUUUGCCGCCCGCCGCCGGACGGCCGGCCCGGCUGUGGCGGGAGAUGAUAUUAAGCCACAGAUUAUACACGAUCAGUGUUGCUACAUAAAAUAAAUCAUUUUCUUCCAGUUUCUUGUGAAUAAAUUACCAUAUUUAGUUCUGAUUAUUCAGGAAAAAAUUAUUGUUACUUAGCUCUUGGAUACUCAAAAUAAAUCAUGUUACUCUAC